UAUGAAGGGGGCUAGCGUUGUUCGGAUUUACUGGGCGUAAAGCGCACGUAGGCGGGUCUUUAAGUCAGGGGUGAAAUCCUGGAGCUCAACUCCAGAACUGCCUUUGAUACUGAAGAUCUUGAGUUCGGGAGAGGUGAGUGGAACUGCGAGUGUAGAGGUGAAAUUCGUAGAUAUUCGCAAGAACACCAGUGGCGAAGGCGGCUCACUGGCCCGAUACUGACGCUGAGGCACGAAAGCGUGGGAGCAAACAGG
rnacentral:rRNA from 1 species